GUGAGGAAUCUUGCGCAAUGGGGGAAACCCUGACGCAGCAACGCCGCGUGAGUGAGGAAGGUCUUCGGAUCGUAAAGCUCUGUCAGAUGGAAAGAACCGCAUGGGGGCCAAUACCCCUCAUGCCUGACGGUACCAUCAGAGGAAGCACCGGCUAACUCCGUGCCAGCAGCCGCGGUAAUACGGGGGGUGCAAGCGUUGUUCGGAAUUAUUGGGCGUAAAGAGCGUGUAGGCGGCAGGAUGUGUCAGAUGUGAAAGCCCUGAGCUCAACUCAGGAAGUGCAUUUGAAACUGUCCAGCUUGAGUAGGGGAGAGGGAAGUGGAAUUCCUGGUGUAGAGGUGAAAUUCGUAGAUAUCAGGAGGAACACCGGUGGCGAAGGCGACUUCCUGGCCCUAUACUGACGCUGAGACGCGAGAGCGUGGGUAGCAAACAGGAUUAGAAACCCUGGUAGUCC
rnacentral:rRNA from 1 species